rnacentral:rRNA from 1 species
ACAAUGGAGAGUUUGAUCCUGGCUCAGGAUGAACGCUAGCUACAGGCUUAACACAUGCAAGUCGAGGGGAAACGAUAUUGGAAGCUUGCUUCCGAUAGGCGUCGACCGGCGCACGGGUGAGUAACGCGUAUCCAACCUGCCCAUCACUUGGGGAUAACCUUGCGAAAGUAAGACUAAUACCCAAUGAUAUCUCAAGAAGACAUCUGAAUGAGAUUAAAGAUUUAUCGGUGAUGGAUGGGGAUGCGUCUGAUUAGCUUGUUGGCGGGGUAACGGCCCACCAAGGCGACGAUCAGUAGGGGUUCUGAGAGGAAGGUCC